UACGGAGGGUGCAAGCGUUAUCCGGAUUCACUGGGUUUAAAGGGUGCGUAGGUGGGUCUGUAAGUCUGUGGUGAAAUCUCUGAGCUUAACUCGGAAACUGCCAUGGAUACUAUAGAUCUUGAAUACCGUGGAGGAUAGCGGAAUAUGUCAUGUAGCGGUGAAAUGCUUAGAUAUGACAUAGAACACCAAUUGCGAAGGCAGCUGUCUACCCGAAUAUUGACACUGAGGCACGAAAGCGUGGGGAUCAAACAGG
rnacentral:rRNA from 1 species